AUGGCAACCAUACUAGAAUGCUUGCUUAGAUCAUGUGUUUGUAAAUUACAACAUUUCAUUAGUAAUGAAGUCAGACUACUCCUAGGGGUGGAAAAAGAUCUUAGUAAAAUCCUGGGACGAGUAGAAUUAAUACAAUGUUGUAUACAUGAUGCUGAGAGCAGGAGGACAAAAGAGCUAGCCGUUAACUACUGGCUUGGUCAAAUGAGAGAUGUUAUAUAUGAUGUUGAUGAAAUCUUGGACGUGGCUAGAUGUGAAGGAAGCAAGCUACUUCCUGACAAUCCUUCAUCAUCAUCAUCAUCAAGUAAAUUAGUUGCAUGGAAAGGCCUUUCAAUUUCAUCUAGCUUUCGUACCCUCAGGCCACGUUAUGAUGUUGCUGUUCGGAUUAGAAGACUCAACAAGAGGAUAGAGGACAUUACAAAUGACAAGAUAUUUUUAACAUUCACCGGUAGUACACAACCUACCAGAAAUGCUCCAAUAUCCAAAAUGAUAAGAAGUUCCGAGCUUGUUGAGCCUAACCUUGUGGGAAAGGAAAUCAUACAUUCUUGCAGGAAGUUGGUGGACUUAGUGCUUGCACACAAGGAAAGUAAGUCCUACAAGAUCGCUAUUGUUGGAACCGGAGGAGUUGGUAAGACAACACUAGCUCAAAGAAUAUACAAUGACCAAAAAAUAAAAGGAAGCUUCAAGAUGCAUGCAUGGAUUUGUGUUUCGCAAGACUACAAUGAAGAUACUCUUCUCAAAGAGGUUCUUCGAAAUAUUGGAGUGCAUCAUGAGCAAGGUGAAACCAUGACAGAGUUGCAGAGAAAGCUUGCAGAAACAAUCAAAGGCAAGAGUUUCUUUCUCGUUCUAGAUGAUGUGUGGCGCUCCGAUGUGUGGAUGGAUUUACUAAGAAUUCCAUUAAAUGAAACAGUUACCGGAGUAAUAUUGGUAACCACACGAGAUGAUCAAAUUGCAAUGAGAAUUGGUGUAGAGCAUAAGCAUCGAGUUGAUCCCAUGUCAAUAGAGGUGGGAUGGGAGCUACUUUGCAAGAGCAUGCACAUUGAUGAAGAGCAAAAAGUGCAAAAUUUAAGAAAUAUAGGAUUUGAGAUUGUUCGCAAAUGUUGUUGCCUUCCUCUUGCAAUCAAGGUUACCGCUAGUGCUUUGGUAUGCAAAGAUCAAACAGAGAAUGAGUGGAAAAAGUUUUUGGGAAAAUAUGCUGUCUCCCAAAGCUUACUCUCUGAUGAUAUUGAAAGAUGUCUGUAUCUAAGCUACGAUCAGUUGCCGCAUCGUCUAAAGCAGUGUUUUCUUUAUUGUGCUUUGUAUACAGAAGAUUCGGUCAUUCGCUUAGGUGAAGUUACCAGGUUAUGGAUUGCAGAAGGCUUUGUCGAGGAGCAGCAAGGCCAACUAUUAGAAGACAUAGCAGAAGAGUACUUCUACGAGCUUGUCCAUCGGAAUCUCCUCCAACCAUAUGACAGGUGUUUUGACCAGGCUAAAUGCAAAAUGCAUGACCUCUUAAGACAACUUGCUUGUAUUAUAUCAAGAGAAGAAUGUUUUAUUGGCGAUGUUGAAUCAUUAAGGAGUGAAAAUAUGUCAAAACUACGACGUGUUACUGCUGUCACUAAGAAGGACAUAUUGGUGUUACCUAGCAUGGAUAACGUGGAAGUUAAGGUGAGGACGUUCCUAACUAUUUGUGGUCCACGAAGAAUUGAGGAUACAUUGUUCAAGAGAUUUCCGCUCCUUCGUGUUUUGGUACUAAAUUACUCAUUUGUGCAAAGCAUUCCAGAUUAUAUUGGAAAACUGAUACAUCUACGCCUACUUAAUCUAGAUUAUUCUGGCAUAUCUUGUCUUCCAGAAUCCAUUGGCUCCCUAAAAAACCUUCAAGUGUUAAGCAUGAGAUACUGUGAUGCUCUGCAUAGCCUUCCAUCCGGGAUGACACAGUUGUGCACUUUAAGAUGUCUUUGUCUUACUGGAACAGAAAUAAAUCAUGUUCCAAGGGGGAUAGGAAAACUGAAGUUUCUCACUCAUUUACGAGGAUUUCCAGUUGGUAAUGGAAGUGAUAAUGCUGAUGUACAAUAUGGAUGGGAGUUGGAAGAGUUGUCUAGUGUGUCACAGAUGAGGUAUCUUCAACUGGUUCGAUUGAAAAGAGCGGCACAUCGUAGUUCGAAUACAGUGCUCGUGGACAAAAAACAUCUAAAAGAACUAGCACUGUCGUGGACUGAGCAUAGAGAUGGGUCAUAUUUGGAACAAGAUGUUAGCAAUGCUGAGAAGUUCAUUGAGGAUCUAAUACCUCCAAGCAACCUGGAAAACCUAUCAAUUUCCGGAUUCUUUGGUCGGCAGUUCCCCACCUGGUUUGGUACCGCCCAUUUGUCUUCAAUAAUACACAUGUACCUCGGAGAGUUACGAUCAUGUGUGAAUCUCCCAUCCAUUGGGCGGUUACCUAACUUGAAAUUUCUGAGAAUUGAUAGAGCAUAUGCAGUUACAAAGGUUGGACAUGAUUUUAUUGGUUGCAGGAAGGAUAAUGAGUUAGUUGUUUUCCCUAAACUUGAAUGGUUGAUCAUAAAAGAUAUGCCCAAUUGGGAGGAGUGGUCUUUUUUUGAUAAACAGGAAGAGGAUGGAGCUGCUAAGAUUUGUAGUGCUGAUGCCCAGUAUGCACAAUUGCAACUGCUGCCUCGUUUGGAGAAGUUGCAUCUAGUAGGUUGCCCAAAGCUGAGGGCUCUCCCUCGAUGGCUUGGAGUGGACACCACCAGCUUGAAGGAGCUCAAAUUAAUUGGAGCAAACAGUUUGAAGGCCGUGGAGGACCUCCCACUGCUCUCUGAGCUCAUUAUUAUUGAGAAAUGUGAAGGCCUUCAGAGGAUCUCCAACCUCCCUCAAGUGAAAGAACUGCGUGUACGUGGUAGUCCAAGCUUAAGCCAUGUAGUGGGGGUGGGAAGGUUGCAGCUGUUGGGGCUGGGUGAGGAUAUGCAAGAAAUCUCUUCCCGCUGGUUACCUGGGCUUCAAGAGCAACACCAGCGGCUUCAUGGAGAAGACCUAGAUGUCUACACCAUGUUUACCAGUUAA
rnacentral:rRNA from 1 species